rnacentral:rRNA from 1 species
CGGGGGGGGCAAGCGUUGUUCGGAAUUACUGGGCGUAAAGGGCGCGUAGGCGGCCUGCUAAGUCGGAUGUGAAAUCCCUCGGCUCAACCGAGGAACUGCAUCCGAUACUGGCGGGCUGGAAUCCGGGAGAGGGAUGUGGAAUUCCAGGUGUAGCGGUGAAAUGCGUAGAUAUCUGGAGGAACACCGGUGGCGAAGGCGGCAUCCUGGACCGGUAUUGACGCUGAGGCGCGAAAGCUAGGGGAGCAAACGGGAUUAGAUACCCCGGUAGUCCUAGCCCUAAACGAUGAGUGCUUGGUGUGGCGGGUAUCGAUCCCUGCCGUGCCGAAGCUAACGCAUUAAGCACUCCGCCUGGGGAGUACGGUCGCAAGGCUG